CAGCACUCCACGUCGUUCGUGAAUAACAAAUCAAGAAACCGAUUGUUUUGGUUCGGUAUUCCACAGACUUGAAAUAGAUCAGAUGCUGCCAUAUCAUCAACAAGAAUAGCUUCUUCGGGCGAAGUGCUAUUAAUUAACGAGCCUACGCUAGCUGUAUGUGAAGAGUAUCUAUGACUGCUUGAUCCCGGUGGUCGAGAUAUUAAUCAAAGUGCUGGCUAAACGGUUGUUUACGGCAAUCAGAACACCUCCACCAGAAACCUUAUCGGAAUUGGUAGACGAUCGGUCGCAGCGAACGCAAACACAUCGUAGUCCCACUCGAGCGAUGACAAAAAAACGGUCUCGAGUCUUCUUCUGCUACGGAUACUAUUCAUAUUCUGGCAAACGAUUUGAUGACCGCGACAGAAAGUUGGUACUCGAAAGUGGCAAACUAUUGUUGGCGAAACGAAACCUGCAUUGUUGGAUCCGUACGCUGGGACAAGAAGGGAUUAGCAACAGGCUGCUCGUUACUUGUUACAGUUUGGGCAACGAGAUCAGCAGUGGUGGCGAGAACAGUAGCUACAGGUUGUGCAUUGAACCGAAAUAUAUCGGCUCGGCGCACAGUUGUGAAUUCAAAUGUACGGAAAUAUAUUCCUUUCUGCCAUGUAGAGGCAGUUAGGGCCUUUUCUUUGUGUUCAAUUGGAAUGCCUAUCUUGAAUGACACAAAUGAUAA